rnacentral:lncRNA from 1 species
CUCCUAACUAAUCUCUCCAUUCUAGACUCUGCCCAUCUUAAAGCAUUCUGCACAUUACACCACCAAUUUGCUUUAUCUUCUAUUUGCAAGUCUCCAAUUAAUCUCCAAGGCCUAUAAGAUAAGCUCCACACUCCUUGAAUGUCAUUCAAAGCUCCCAAGAAGCUGGCACUCUCCCUGUCCCCAUCUUCUUACCUGGAAUAUUCUUUCCUUUCCUGUUUGUUUACUUAAGUCUUACCUUCCUUUCAAUAUCCAGUCCACCCAUCCUUUUCCCUUCAAACCUGCCUUGGAGGGUGGAACAGAUGACCCUGUCUUGUCUAGGGCUAUUUCUCUAUACACACUUUUUGGCCCCUUUCCUCUCAGAUCCUCUGGGGACGAGUUCCAUCAACAUUUCCAUUUUCCUUUCACUUACUCUGUCUUCUGCACUCCUUUGUCUCCCAGAAAACCUCCUCUGCCAAGUCUUCUCUCCCAGUUCACCCUGGUAGUUCAUCAUCUACCACUUUGCACUCUCAGCAUAUUUUUAGGUGCUGUCAAGAAUUGUGGGGGCCGGCCUGGUGGCACAGCAGUUAAGUUUGCAUGUCCAGCUUCAGCAGCCCAAGGUUUGCCAGGUCAGAUGGACCUAUGCACCGUUUAUCAAGCCAUGCUACGACAGGCGUCCCACAUACAAAAUAGAGGAAGACGGGCACAGAUGUUAGCUCAGGGUUAAUCUUCCUCAAAAAAAAAAAAGGGUAUUAUGAAGGGUCAAAGAUUUUACCCUACUUGCAAGCCAGCAAGUUACCCUUCCGCAGUUUCAUGGAUAUUGGCAGAAGACAUGAGAUGCCUGGUCAAAGACAAAGUAUUUUAUUGCUCACAGCAAAAACAGCAGCCAGAAUAUCAGCUUUGCUUGCACUGGUUCCCUGAGCUCCAAUUCCCAUUGGAUGAUGGAGCAGGCCAGCCAGGUGAUGCCUGCACACACAUUGGGUCACAUUAUAGUAAAGAAACCCUGAGCCUAGGGAACUGGAACAUUUCAUAAGAGACAGUACGCACA